ACAGUCACAUCACGUUGAGGUACCGGUUCGCGUACGAUCGCCGAAGUUAAACAACGUCGGGCCUGGUCAGUACAUAGAUGGGUGACUGCUUGGGAAAAGCAGGUACUGUAA